rnacentral:rRNA from 1 species
UAACACGUGAGCAACCUGCCCCCUACUUCGGGAUAAGCCUUGGAAACGGGGUCUAAUACCGGAUAUGAACGUCUGCCGCAUGGUGGGUGUUGGAAAGUUUUUCGGUGGGGGAUGGGCUCGCGGCCUAUCAGCUUGUUGGUGGGGUAAUGGCCUACCAAGGCGUCGACGGGUAGCCGGCCUGAGAGGGCGACCGGCCACACUGGGACUGAGACACGGCCCAGACUCCUACGGGAGGCAGCAGUGGGGAAUAUUGCACAAUGGGCGAAAGCCUGAUGCAGCGACGCCACGUGAGGGAUGACGGCCUUCGGGUUGUAAACCUCUUUCAGCAGGGAAGAAGCGAAAGUGACGGUACCUGCAGAAGAAGCGCCGGCUAACUACGUGCCAGCAGCCGCGGUAAUACGUAGGGCGCAAGCGUUGUCCGGAAUUAUUGGGCGUAAAGAGCUCGUAGGUGGUCUGUCGCGUCUGGUGUGAAAUCCCAUGGCUCAACUGUGGGCUUGCAUCGGGUACGGGCAGACUAGAGUGCUGUAGGGGAGACUGGAAU